UCGUCUACGUAUUAUCAAUAACCUCUGUC
rnacentral:sRNA from 1 species